AAUGUAAAACGAUGCAGAUGUAGAAGC
rnacentral:guide_RNA from 1 species